rnacentral:lncRNA from 1 species
GCAGUCGGCUUUUCUGGUCCUUAGUUUCCAUGUAUCACUGAGGAUAAUGAGGCCAGGAAGAGGAGAAGGAAAUUAAUUACUCAAGGUUCUCUGGAUAUUUUGUGUCAGAUCCAGGUCUUUUUCUUCGAUUUAAUUUUCUUUGGUUGCGAAGGUGCCGGUUUCUGACAGUCUCGUGACUCUCUGAAAAGAUGUAUAGUCUGUGUAUAUUCUGUCUUGCGCAUGUGCUCUGAGACAUCUUCAAUGGAGUCAUUGUUGAGCAGCUUCCAAACACUGUCUCCACAGUAACCAUACUCUCAAGAAAGAACAACACGUGCAAACGUCUGAGACGAUGAUGUAUUCACCGUUAACUUUAGUCUGGUGGGCUGCUUAUUUUUGAGACGGAGUCUUGCUAUGCAGCCCAACUUAGCCUCCAGCUCAAGGUAUGUCGGCCACCUGAGUGCCGGGAUUACAUAUGUGUGUUACUACAAUUUUCUCUAUGAAUAACUUUGAAGAGUACAAAAUUCCACAGGUUUCACCAAGCACAAGGAAAAGUCUCCUGGGAGAGAUGACUGUAGAAGGGAACUCUCACAGUAGAAGAUACUGGACUUGGUGCAACCUGUUCCAUGCAUGAAGCUUCUUGUAUACUCAUUUGAAAAUAUUCUUCUUCUAUGAGAAGUAGCAAGCACUACCAACUCCCUGCCAUAUAGCAAUGGUAAAUGGCCUGUCCUACAUGAAGUGCUGGUGGUAGCUAACUGUUAGGAGAAUGGACUUAAGCACUUCUCAACAUGAAGCGUAUCCAGUGUGCCUUGAAGUAUACUGGAUGUUGGCAGCAUCAGGAAAACAAGGCCUAGAGUGUGGACCUGUAGUGCUAGUUACUCCAGAGGCUGAGGCAGGAGGAUUACAAGUUGAGCUUGUGAAUCUGGGCUACCAGAGAGUACAAAAGUGGCCUGGGAAAUUAACAGGUUCCAUUUCUAAAUUUUAAAAUGGCUGGUUUAUAAUACAGUGGUAGAACACCUAUACAGUACACACAAGGCCAUGGUUUAAUCUACAAUUGAAAGGAAGAAAGGAGGGGGGAGGGGGGAAGGAAAUCAUUCCAAUAUAUUCAGCAGUCGAAACUAAAGGGAGAAUUUGAGUGCACUGCUUGGCACACUUAGUACCUGCUUUUCCAGCAGAAUUGUUGAUAACAUUCUAGUUUGGAUGGUAAACUAUAUAGUUCCCCUACUUAUUAAGCAAUUCGUGCAUGCUAAGCAUUAUAGAUGCAAGAUAUUCUCUAUCAUUGAAGUGUUAACUUCUGUCCCGUGAAAACAGACAAGUAAACCUUUGUGAUGUGUAUAAUGUAUACACUUUGCAUGUUAGAGAUUAACACGUAAUGUUUUCAAACUUUACCCAUGGCUUCUUAGCUGCAGACUGAGUCCGAAUGCUUGUCAGAGUCCCCGGGGGUGGGCCCAUGAUAAGUAGUCUUACAGGAAAAGUAGGAGCUAGCUAAGUGAAGAAUGUUCCAACCCAAAUGAUGGGUGGUUGCCAAGGAAGACGAACAAAAGAGACCACAGCAGUUUAGGAGAACUGAAAGCAUUUGAUUUGUGGAGCCCCGCCAUGAGCAGGCAGGGGAGUGAGCUGGAACUCUGGAGGAUAACUGCUGGAUCUUGAAGCCCUCACACUGAUUGAAAGUCUGAACUGAAUUCCCAGACUUGGAGCACUAGCCAUGCAUAAAACACAGCAUUGCCUUGGCGACAGCAGGAGCAUAAAUGACAGAGGACAGGGACACAAGGAAAUAUAAGCAGAAGUUUUAGGGAGGGAUGCACAUUUAAUCUCCCAGUUCAAUUUGGCAUAAGCCUCUCUUUUCGAUCACCUCCACACACCUUUUGAAUUAAAGAAUAAUGUGUUCCCCGGGCCAAGCCCAUGUCUUUCCCAUUACCACCUGCUCCCGGGUGGGCUCACGGUAUCCUUUUUCCCCUCACUCAUCUGUUCCUUCCACUUCAUGGACCACCAAUGGCACGGGCAUCAAAAUGUCCAGCCAAGUUGUGUGCCAGGAAGCCUGCCACAUGGGAGUUGGCACACAGCCUCAGGACUGCAACAGAAUGCACAGCUAGGAGGCUGGCUUUCACAAGUGAAGCAGAGACGGCAUUAUUGUAGCCUAUGCAGGAUAAAUAGCUAUGUAGUAAAUGGGUCUUGUUUUGCCCGUGCUUUCUAACAAGUAGAUCUCACUAUUUUGGAGAAAGUCUAGCUUUGGCCUUUCCCAUUAUGUGAUCCCUCUCCCUGUGUACUUUUCAGCAUGGAAAUGUAUGAGGAACAUCUGUAGGACCUUAGUAUUGAUCAGUAGAUGUAGACAGCUAUAAGACAGGAAGGACUGAACCCAUGUGUCUGUAGACAAAGAUGAACGCCGUGUUGAAAUGCAUUUACCUGACACAGAAAGGUCAUUGGAAUGCUCUACAGAUGAGUUUACUGCUGUUACUACACUGACUGGAGCUCUGGGUCAGUAUAAGGAAGAAGAAUUUGGAAAACUCUUAAGUAAAUAUCCAGCAGAUUC